rnacentral:lncRNA from 1 species
GAAGGUAAAAAAAAAAAUUGUAUGUGAAAAGGGUUUCCAACUUGUACUGCUUAAAAAUACUCAGUGGAUAGAUAAUUUUAGAUUAAGUUAUUUCUUUCUGCAAUCUAUCAAAUUUCUUCUUGCACCCCAUUACAAAAGUACAGGCUUUCGGAAAAUUUUAUCUGAAAAGGUGGGUGGUGGGAAUUUGGUAUCGGGAACGGAGGCGUAACAUAUAAUUCGGCUAAAAAGAAAUCCGUCAUACUAUUGGAUGAGUAUUUUCUGGAAAUAUAUUUCUAGAAUUAUCGUGUUUCAGAAAUUUACAUAUUUGAUGGGUGCAUGAAGAAAUUCUACGGGUGCAGGAAGAAACAGCCUUCGUGUUAUUGAUUCCUUGCCUCUCAUAUAUUUCAUGAUUUCUUUAUUCUUUAUUCUUUUGCACCUCCACAUCCAAGCUUUCAUCCUGCACUUCCAAAAAUUACCAUUUUAACCUCAAUGAAUAUUAUUUUAAUAUUUUCUCUUUCUUCAUAAAGUGAUUCUGCACCCUUCUAACUUUUUCUCUUUCUUAUUAAAGUCAACCUACACCCUUCUAAUUUUCUCUCUCUUAUAUUAAAGUCAUUUUACAUCAU